AACAGUGUGCUCUGCAGCUAGACAGGCCACAGUUUGCUGUUUGCCAGCAGACUUUCACACCUGGCUUCCAGCAAUAGAGCGGAAAGGCACCCUGGCCUGCCCUGAAGCAUGCACUUGAUCACCUGGUUGAAAGAAACAAAGAGAGAGCAAAAGAUAUGUGGCCUUGGAAGGAUGGCAUGCAAAAAGGAAGGUGUCAGACAAAUCGCUAACACACACCAAGACUCAUGUGCCUUUGUUUCAAGAUCCUGGCCAGAAGUAGGUACUGAGUCCCCUACAGGACUGAGCUGCUGUCUGGGAUUGACCUCAUCAGAACUGGAAUCACACAUUUUAAGCGGUAAAAAAAACACUCUCUUGAAAGGAUUGUGCAUAUGUGGGAAAAAUGCUAAUAACAGGACCUGACUGAUCUUUGAGACUGUCUAGAUCAAACUUAAGGUAGUAUGAAGUCAAUCACUAAAACCUGGAGGAGCAACACCUGUAGCAAAGCUGCAAGCCCUGACUUAUUCAAACCCAUUGAGUUUGCAUUGUCUAGCUGGUUACUAAGCCCUUGAUUCUGCUCUAACAGACCCACAUGUUCUUCAUGUACUUCAGUUUUUCUUGUUGGCUACCUGGAAAAAGUGUUCCUAGUGUGAUGACAUUUUAUCAGUAAUUUAGUCUUACCAGAGAGAAGACAAACGACUGCUGCAUCUUGGCAUCAGAUAAUUACAUACUAUGGAUUUGCUUUGGGACAGUUAUUUGUUUGUUGCUCCAGUUCAGAAUAGUUUUUGACCUGCAGCGACCAAUGUAUUAUUUCAUUCAAGGUAAUGAAUGAAUGAAUACAUGAAUGAAUAUGGUAAUUUGUUACUGCUGAAGGAAGUUUGCUAGAUAUCAGUCUAAAAGACAAUGUCAGUGCUAUCAUUCCCUUGACUAUCAUAGCUUCACAUUACUAUUGGUGGUUCUUGCUAGCUCCACUUGAAAACAGAAAAACACAUUUUCUUGACUGAAUUUAGUUUAUGACCUAGCUAUACUCAUUUUAAGCUUGCUUAGCUUUCUCCAAGGCAGAGUCGCUUUCUCCAAGGUGGAGUCGCUUGCCAUUACUGUCACAUACAGCUGUUUCUCUCCCAAGUGUGUUCACCUGCAAGAUUUUAUGGAGAUUUUUUUCUUACCUAAUUUAAAAAACUUGAAAAAUAAAAUAAUAAAAAACUAAAAACA
rnacentral:lncRNA from 1 species